rnacentral:ncRNA from 1 species
UACUAGUUCGAACGGACUAUGGUAUGACGCUACGUCCGCUGGAUUAUGCCUGAACGCCUCUAAGGUCGUAUCCAAUCCGAGCUGAUAGCGCUUCUUAUACCCAUUAGGUGGUCGUAAGCUAGCGGGCCUAACAACCCUCCGAGAACCGUCCGUGCUGUCCAUUGGCACACUGGCGUCUCAUCCCGCUUAACCUAGGCCGCAUUGUGCGGAGUGCGCUGCACGCGCUAGUACCUGACUACAGGGAACACCGGUGGCUUGCGCUCUGCCGAUCGUGGACAGACCUAGUUUCGAACCCUACCCGACCGCCCGCAAACGACGGGACUACAGGCUGGGAGCUUCAAGUUGUAGAGAUGCGUUCGCAUCGAUCCUCUCAGGCGACCCAUGCUUGGUGGUUUGU